rnacentral:misc_RNA from 1 species
AAGUCGUAACAAGGUCUCCGUUGGUGAACCAGCGGAGGGAUCAUUAAAGAGUUUUUACAACUCCUAAACCCCUGUGAACAUACCUUCUGUUGCCUCGGCAGGCCCUGGCCUACCCUGUAGCGCCCUUACAUCGUAGGGGCUGCUUUAGGGGGAGCGCUAGGGGAACCUGCCGGCGGCCUGCAAAACUCUGUUUAGCAUUAAAUUCUGAACAUAUAACUAAAUAAGUUAAAACUUUCAACAACGGAUCUCUUGGUUCUG